GAGAGGAUGAUCAGCAACACUGGGACUGAGACACUGCCCAGACUCCUACGGGAGGCUGCAGUCGAGAAUCAUUGUCAAUGCACGAAAGUGUGAACAUGCGACGCCGCGUGGAGGAAGACGGCCUUUGGGUUGUAAACUCCUGUCAGCAGGGAGUAAGGAUGGUUUAUCUAAUACAUAAGCCAUUUGAUAGUACCUGCAGAGGAAGUCACGGCUAACUCUGUGCCAGCAGCCGCGGUAAUACAGAGGUGGCGAACGUUGUUCGGAUUUACUGGGCGUAAAGGGUCCGCAGGCGGCUUGGUGUGUCAGAUGUGAAAGCCCACGGCUUAACCGUGGAAUUGCAUUUGAAACUGCCAAGCUAGAGUACUGGAGGGGAGAAGGGAACACUUGGUGUAGCGGUGAAAUGCGUAGAUAUCAAGUGGAACACCGGUGGCGAAGGCGCUUCUCUGGACAGAUACUGACGCUCAUGGACGAAAGUUAGGGUAGCGAAAGGGAUUAGAUACCCCUGUAGUCCUAACCGUAAACGGUGUGCGCUAGGCGUGGGUGGCUUUACCCCCAUCCGUGCCUGAGCUAACGCAUUAAGCGCACCGCCUGGGGAGUACGGUCGCAAGAUUAAAACUCAAAGGAAUUGACGGGGACCCGCACAAGCGGUGGAGCAUGUGGCUUAAUUCGAUGCAACGCGAAGAACCUUACCUGGGCUUGACAUAUAGCUGCAUACGACCCGAAAGGGACGUAGCCUUCGAGGGUGCUAUACAGGUGCUGCAUGGCUGUCGUCAGCUCGUGCCGUGAGGUGUUGGGUUAAGUCCCGCAACGAGCGCAACCCCUGUAUUUAGUUGCCAGCACGUAAUGGUGGGAACUCUAAACAGACUGCCUGUGAAAGCAGGAGGAAGGUGGGGAUGACGUCAAGUCAGUAUGGUCCUUAUGCCCAGGGCUGCACGUGCUACAAUGGGAUGUACAGUGGGAAGCUAAGCCGCGAGGUGGAGCAAAUCCUCAAAACAUCCCCCAGUUCGGAUUGUAGUCUGAAACUCGACUACAUGAAGUUGGAAUCGCUAGUAAAGGCGUAUCAGCUACGACGCCUUGAAUACGUUCCCGGGUCUUGUACACACCGCCCGUCACAUCAUGGAAGUUAGUUGCACCCGAAGUCGUUGAUCCAACCUUUUAUUAGGAGGAAGGCGCCUAAGGUGUGAUUGGUAACUGGGAUGAAGUCGUAACAAGGUA
rnacentral:rRNA from 1 species